rnacentral:rRNA from 1 species
GAUGAACGCUAGCUACAGGCUUAACACAUGCAAGUCGAGGGGCAGCAUGAACUUAGCUUGCUAAGUUUGAUGGCGACCGGCGCACGGGUGAGUAACACGUAUCCAACCUGCCGAUGACUCGGGGAUAGCCUUUCGAAAGAAAGAUUAAUACCCGAUGGCAUAGUUCUUCCGCAUGGUAGAACUAUUAAAGAAUUUCGGUCAUCGAUGGGGAUGCGUUCCAUUAGCUUGUUGGCGGGGUAACGGCCCACCAAGGCAGCGAUCAGUAGCCGGCCUGAGAGGGUGAACGGCCACAUUGGGACUGAGACACGGCCCAA